rnacentral:rRNA from 1 species
UACGUAGGGCGCAAGCGUUGUCCGGAAUUAUUGGGCGUAAAGAGCUCGUAGGCGGCUUGUCACGUCGGUUGUGAAAGCCCGGGGCUUAACCCCGGGUCUGCAGUCGAUACGGGCAGGCUAGAGUGUGGUAGGGGAGAUCGGAAUUCCUGGUGUAGCGGUGAAAUGCGCAGAUAUCAGGAGGAACACCGGUGGCGAAGGCGGAUCUCUGGGCCAUUACUGACGCUGAGGAGCGAAAGCGUGGGAGCGAACAGG